UAGGGAAUUUUCGUCAAUGGGCGCAAGCCUGAACGAGCGAUGCCGCGUGAGUGAAGAAGGCCUUCGGUCGUAAAGCUCUGUUGCGGGGGAAAAAAGGCAUCUGCAGGAAAUGGUAGAUGACAGAUGGUGCCCCGCCAGAAAGUCACGGCUAACUACGUGCC
rnacentral:rRNA from 1 species